GCUCAUUGGUAUCCGAUGAAUGUGCUCAACAUUUUGCUUGGAGUGGAACGUCAGACAAAAAACCUGUCCGCGUCUUAAAAGUAUCUAUGGCUAUCCGAGAUGUCUUCUUACAUGAAGUGAAGGGCAAUGACACUGAAUAUAUAAGUGGCACCAAGACGAUUUUUCAGUUUGCCAAAAAUAGACAAAAA